UACGUAGGGUGCGAGCGUUGUCCGGAAUUAUUGGGCGAAAGGGCUCGUAGGCGGUUUGUCGCGUCGGGAGUGAAAUCCACUGGCUUAACUGGUGGCUUGCUUUCGAUACGGGCAGACUGGAGGUAUGCAGGGGAGAACGGAAUUCCUGGUGUAGCGGUGAAAUGCGCAGAUAUCAGGAGGAACACCGGUGGCGAAGGCGGUCUCUGGGCAUGUCCUGACGCUGAGGAGCGAAAGUGUGGGGAGCGAACAGG
rnacentral:rRNA from 1 species